GAUUAUCCUUGAGGUAUGUCUAUACUUCUUAUACUUUUAGAUUUAAUUUUAGAUUUUAAAUAUCAGAUAAUAAAAUUAGAUCUAACAGACAUUAGAUCUGAAAUAGCGUAGGAUAAAAAUUUUAAAUUAUUCCAUCCUAGAUUUGAUAAAAUCUGGAAGAUCCUACAAAGAAAAAAGACAAUUUUUCCUUCAGGUGGAUCAGGCACG
rnacentral:lncRNA from 1 species